GAGGCGCAACGAAAGUGAUUGUCGGGAUCCCCUUUGUGGGGCGCACCGACNGCCUGUUCGUUCAUUCGAAUAGAGCSUGAGCAUACACGUUGGGACCCGAAAGAUGGUGAACUAUGCCCGGGCAGGACGAGGCCAGAGGAAACUCUGGUGGAGGUCCGCAGCGAUUCUGACGUGCAAAUCGAUCGUCAGACCUGCGUAUAGGGGCGAAAGACCAAUCGAACCAUCUAAUAGCUGGUUCCCUCCGAAGUUUCCCUCAAGAUAGCUGGCGCUCGUUNUUCAGUCUCGUCUGGUAAAGCGAAUGAUUARAGGUCUUGGGGUCGAAACGGCCUCAACCUAUUCUCAAACUUUAAAUGGGCGAGGAGUGCGGCCUUGCUUAANNUGAGGGCUGCNCGUUGGAUGNNANUGCCCAGNGGGCCAUUUUUGGUAA
rnacentral:rRNA from 1 species